rnacentral:rRNA from 1 species
AAACUGGGAUUAGAUACCCCACUAUGCUUAGCCCUAAACACAAAUAAUUAUAAAAACAAAAUUAUUCGCCAGAGUACUACGGCAACAGCCCGAAACUCAAAGGACUUGGCGGUGCUUUAUACCCUUCUAGAGGAGCCUGUUCUAUAAUCGAUAAACCCCGAUAAACCUCACCAAUCCUUGCUAAUACAGUCUAUAUACCGCCAUCUUCAGCAAACCCUAAAAAGGAACAAAAGUAAGCUCAAUCACAACACAUAAAGACGUUAGGUCAAGGUGUAACCCAUGGAAUGGGAAGAAAUGGGCUACAUUUUCUACUUCAAGAAAAUUUAAUACGAAAGCCAUUAUGAAAUUAAUAGCCAAAGGAGGAUUUAGCAGUAAACUAAGAAUAGAGUGCUUAGUUGAAUCAGGCCAUGAAGCACGCACACACCGCCCGUCACCCUC